UAGAUCCCUCUAGUUUGAAAGUCUCACUUUUGUGUCUAAUGGUUAUGAAUGAGAAAGAUGCCGUGGGUUUGAAUAUGUUAUAUUUGUGCUGGAUGGUGGAAAAUAAAAUGUUAAGACUAUGUUACAAAAUUGUUACUAGCAUAUCUCUUAGAUUGGCUUUUAGGCCAUAACACUAACAAAUACCAUGAGGAAGAGGAAUUCUUGCUCGAGGGAGCUAGAGCUGGUGCAUGGACUGGAGGUUGAAUUCAUGUGGGCUUGUCUUGCAUUGUCAUGAUCAUAUAGCACAAUGGUUUCUUGUUGUUUGUUCUUGGUAUAUCGAGAUGCUUGAAAAGCAAGCUCUUGAAGAAAGCAGGGAAGUGUCGGAACAGAAAGACAUUGUGCAAAAGAAUGGACAGGCAGCAGGAUGACGCAACAGAGAGGUGAUACUCGUCAGAUGCUUAAUUAGUUAUUCCCUAUAAUUUGUAAGAUCUUUGUUGGAAUGAGGGUAAUUGGAGAGGGAUUCCUAUUUAUAUAGUAUAAUGCGAAAUCAGGUUAUUUAUAUCCUUUUUUCCUUGCCUGAUGUU